UUGGAAUAUCAUACUUCUUAGAACCAAAAGACGCAGUGGAAGCCGACAGUGGUGGCUGAUUCAUUCCUUGGUUCCCCGUCUGCUCCUCCGUAAUGAAGGCUCCCUGAGAUGUAAACAUUACGGUCAAACUGUCGGAUCGAAUCCAGGAGACCCAGGCUCGAGGAGGAGAGUGGGACAUCGCACGGGCGAGGACGACAGGCAGGUGAAGCCGCGGGUGCUCAGAGAUGUUCAAGGUCACAAAGUGAGACUCAGACUCAGGCAGGCUGACUCCAGAAAGCCUUCCCUCUGUCCGCCCUACACCGCUUUUAAAAUCACCAAGCCCGGCCUCCCACCUGCCCGUGGCCACCGUCUUGCACAGCAAAGCCCCAGGUGAGUACACAGUGGGCGGCCGGGGGGUAGGGGAGCGGAGGAAGGUCUCCCUCAGGGGGAACAAAUCGUCUGUUCCUCUCCCUUUGGGACACCACCUGCAUCUCCAAGCAGCAAGGUCAAGGUGUGCCCUGAAACCAUGAGGGCAAACGUGGUGGUCGGGGACUGGGUUUCCGUGAUGACCACUUCCCAGCCAUGUAACUACAGCUCCUCCCCAGAGAAACAGAACCAAAUCGGUAGAGAAAGAGAGAGAGAGACA